rnacentral:misc_RNA from 1 species
UUUCUGUAGGUGAACCUGCAGAAGGAUCAUUAGUGAAGAUUUGGGCAGGCCAUACGGACGCCACAAAGUGUCCCUGGCCGCCUACACCCACUAUACAUCCACAAACCCGUGUGCACUGUCCUUGGAAAGGGCAUUUGGAGAGAAAAAGGAAGAGAAGCGAGAACAGUGCGAUCCGUCGCGUUGGGCGUUGAUCUCUGACUUGGUCUCUCUGAGGCCCUUUCCUCGCUACAAACUCGAAUGGUUAGUAUGAACGUGGAACUUGGUUGGACCGUCACUGGCCAACAAACUAUACACAACUUUCGACAACGGAUCUCUUGGUUCUCCCAUCGAUGAAGAACGCAGC